rnacentral:rRNA from 1 species
AUGCAAGCGUUGUCCGGAUUUAUUGGGCGUAAAGAGUUCGUAGGCGGUUUGUUAAGUCUGAUGUUAAAGACCGGGGCUCAACCUCGGAAAUGCGUUGGAUACUGGCAGACUGGAGUGCAGUAGAGGCUAGUGGAAUUCCCAGUGUAGCGGUGAAAUGCGUAGAUAUUGGGAAGAACACCGGUGGCGUAGGCGACUAGCUGGGCUGUAACUGACGCUGAGGAACGAAAGCCAGGGGAGCAAAUGGGAUUAGAUACCCCAGUAGUCCUGGCCGUAAACGAUGGAUACUAGGCGUAGUGGGUAUCGACCCCUGCUGUGCCGCAGCUAACGCGAUAAGUAUCCCGCCUGAGUAGUACGGCCGCAAGGUUGAAACUCAAAGGAAUUGACGGGGGCCCGCACAAGCGGUGGAACAUGUGGUUUAAUUCGAAGCAACGCGAAGAACCUUACCAGGGCUUGACAUCUGUGGAAUCUUUCGGAAACGAGAGAGUGCUCGCAAGAGAGCCACAAGACAGGUGGUGCAUGGCUGUCGUCAACUCGUGUCGUGAGAUGUUGGGUUAAGUCCCGCAACGAGCGCAACCCCCGUUGUUAGUUGCCAUCA